GGAAGUAAAAGUCAUAACAAGGUUUCCGUAGGUGAACCUGCGGAAGGAUCAUUAUUGUAUAACCGAGGUGCGAGGGCUGUCGCUGACCCGAAAGGUCGUGCACGCCCGAGUGCCCUCACACACAUCCAUCUCACCCCUAUGUGCACCACCGCGUGGGUCCCCCUUUGGCUUGUUCGGAGGGGGGCUUAUGUUUUCACACAAACUUUGUAUGCAGUGUAGAAUGUAUUUUUUGUUUUUGCGAUCACGCAAUCAAUACAACUUUCAACAACGGAUCUCUUGGCUCUC
rnacentral:misc_RNA from 1 species